rnacentral:rRNA from 1 species
AGCGAACGCCGGCGGCAGGCCUAACACAUGCAAGUCGAACGAAGUCUUCGGACUUAGUGGCAGACGGGUGAGUAACACGUGGGAACGUGCCUUUAGGUUCGGAAUAACUCAGGGAAACUUGUGCUAAUACCGAAUGUGCCCUUCGGGGGAAAGAUUUAUCGCCUUUAGAGCGGCCCGCGUCUGAUUAGCUAGUUGGUGAGGUAAAGGCUCACCAAGGCGACGAUCAGUAGCUGGUCUGAGAGGAUGAUCAGCCACAUUGGGACUGAGACACGGCCCAAACUCCUACGGGAGGCAGCAGUGGGGAAUCUUGCGCAAUGGGCGAAAGCCUGACGCAGCCAUGCCGCGUGAAUGAUGAAGGUCUUAGGAUUGUAAAAUUCUUUCACCGGGGACGAUAAUGACGGUACCCGGAGAAGAAGCCCCGGCUAACUUCGUGCCAGCCGCCGCGGUAACAC